GAUGAACGCUGGCGGCGUGCCUAAUACAUGCAAGUCGAGCGAACGGACGAGAAGCUUGCUUCUCUGAUGUUAGCGGCGGACGGGUGAGUAACACGUGGAUAACCUACCUAUAAGACUGGGAUAACUUCGGGAAACCGGAGCUAAUACCGGAUAAUAUUUUGAACCGCAUGGUUCAAAAGUGAAAGACGGUCUUGCUGUCACUUAUAGAUGGAUCCGCGCUGCAUUAGCUAGUUGGUAAGGUAACGGCUUACCAAGGCAACGAUGCAUAGCCGACCUGAGAGGGGGAUCGGCCACACUGGAACUGAGACACGGUCCAGACUCCUACGGGAGGCAGCAGUCGGGAAUCUUCCGCAAUGGGCGAAAGCCUGACGGAGCAACGCCGCGUGAGUGAUGAAGGUCUUCGGAUCGUAAAACUCUGUUAUUAGGGAAGAACAUAUGUGUAAGUAACUGUGCACAUCUUGACGGUACCUAAUCAGAAAGCCACGGCUAACUACGUG
rnacentral:rRNA from 1 species